AUGACCAAAGAAGGAGGAGGUAUGGUACCUCGGAAAGAGCACUGGCAUGACCUGGUUCCAGAUUCUACCUCUAAUGUUGUGUGAUGUGAGGAUGUGGUACAAAGAAGAUGCUUAAUAAAAGACAUAUUGAUUGAUUGAUAUGAAGAGAAAUAAGAGAAGGCAGUAUCAUGGGAGCCAAGGGAGAAGAGAGAGGAGAGCAGCAUUUAGUAUGCAUUUUCUAGCCUAUCAAAUGGUAUAGCAGGUUUUCUUCAAUGUCAUUUCAGGAGAGGUGAUUAAAAGAGUCAAGGAGGAUGAAGAUUGAGAAAAAACCAAUGGAUUUAGCAAUUGAGAACUGAUACUAAAACAGAUGGUGAGGGUUUUUUUAAAGGAGAGGAAGAAUAAGGAAAAGGAGAACAAGAACAAGGAAGAGAAUGAGGAGGAGGAGAAAAAGGAAGAGAAGAAGAAAAAGAAGAGGAACAGGAGGAGGAGAGAGUGAAUAGUUGAGGAUGACAGUGAUUGAGGUCAUGAAUUUGGGGAUUCGUAGGAAAGUAAUCUCUGGAGAUAGAGGAAAGUUUGGAAGAUAUGUGGAUUUUGGAGAGAAGAGGAUGAAUUCCAUUUUGAACAUGUUGAGCGUAACAUGCCUAGGGGACAUAAAGUUUCAAAUGUCUACUAAAGAGGGCAGGAUUCUUACGUCACACGAAAUUGCCAGGCUACACUUAUGAUCCCAGUAAAUGCCCCAAUGAGAUGGGAGAGGAUACACGGAGGAUAAAACAGGGCCCAAUGGCACCAACUGCUAAUGUGUGUUCCAAAGUAGGUGAAUUCUGUCCUGCUCAGGGUGAAUUCAAGUUGGCGGCAUAUUCCAAAAGGCAGGCUCAUCAAUUAGCAUUUACUUCUCCAAAACACUAUAAUCCAUCAGUACAGAAGUUUUCCUGUGCAUAG
rnacentral:lncRNA from 1 species